GAUGAACGCUGGCGGCAUGCCUAAUACAUGCAAGUCGAACGAGAGGAAGGAAAGCUUGCUUUUCUGAAUCUAGUGGCGAACGGGUGAGUAACACGUAGGUAACCUGCCCAUGUGCCCGGGAUAACUUCUGGAAACGGAUGCUAAAACCGGAUAGAUAGCAGACAAGCAUUUGACUGCUAUUAAAGUGGCUAAGGCCAUGAACAUGGAUGGACCUGCGGUGCAUUAGCUAGUUGGUGAGGUAACGGCCCUCCAAGGCGACGAUGCAUAGCCGGCCUGAGAGGGCGGACGGCCACAUUGGGACUGAGACACGGCCCAAACUCCUACGGGAGGCAGCAGUAGGGAAUUUUCGUCAAUGGGGGGAACCCUGAACGAGCAAUGCCGCGUGAGUGAGGAAGGUCUUCGGAUCGUAAAGCUCUGUUGUAAGAGAAAAACGACAUUCAUAGGGAAUGAUGAGUGAGUGAUGGUAUCUUACCAGAAAGUCACGGCUAACUACGUGCCAGCCGCCGCGGUAA
rnacentral:rRNA from 1 species